GACGAACGCUGGCGGCGUGCUUAACACAUGCAAGUCGAACGGGAUUUAGUAAACGGAAGCCUCGGUGGAAGAUUACUAAUGGGAGUGGCGAACGGGUGAGUAACGCGUGAGCAACCUGCCUAUGACAGUGGGAUAGCCUCGGGAAACCGGGAUUAAUACCGCAUAAAAUCGUAGAAACACAUGUUUCAACGGUCAAAGAUUUAUCGGUCAUAGAUGGGCUCGCGUCUGAUUAGCUAGUUGGUGAGAUAACAGCCCACCAAGGCGACGAUCAGUAGCCGGUCUGAGAGGAUGAACGGCCACAUUGGAACUGAGCCACGGUCCAAACUCCUACGGGAGGCAGCAGUGGGGAAUAUUGCACAAUGGGGGAAACCCUGAUGCAGCGACGCCGCGUGAACGAAGAAGGUAUUCGUAUCGUAAAGUUCUGUCCUAUGGGAAGAUAAUGACAGUACCAUAGAAGAAAGCUCCGGCUAAAUACGUG
rnacentral:rRNA from 1 species